rnacentral:tRNA from 5 species
GGCUUCAUAGCUCAGUUGGCAGAGCACAAGACUGAAAAUCUUGGUGUCGUUGGUUCGAUUCCAACUGAAGCCACCA